UGGCUCUGGCAUCGAUGAAGAACGCAGCGAAAUGCGAUAAGUAAUGUGAAUUGCAGAAUUCCGUGAACCAUCGAAUCUUUGAACGCACAUUGCGCCCGCUGGUAUUCCGGCGGGCACGCCUGUCCGAGCGUCAGUAAGCCCACUCAGGCUCGGCCUGGUGUUGGGGCUCCGGGGCCGACCCGGGCCCCCAAAAGCAGUGGCGGGCCUGCCACCCCUCCAGGCGCAGUAAUGCUCUCGCCUGUGUGGGCCGCGGGCGCCGGCCGUAAAAAAAGGACGACGCAUCGACCAUCCACAGGUUGACCUCGGAUCAGGCGGGGACACGCGCUGA
rnacentral:misc_RNA from 1 species